UACGGAGGGGGCAAGCGUUGUUCGGAAUCAUUGGGCGUAAAGAGUAUGUAGGCGGCUAUUUAAGUCAGACGUGUAAGCCCACGGCUCAACCGUGGAAUUGCGUUUGAAACUAUUUAGCUUGAGUGCAGAAGAGGAAGGCGGAAUUCCCAGUGUAGCGGUGAAAUGCAUUGAUAUUGGGAAGAACACCGGUGGCGAAGGCGGCCUUCUGGUCUGACACUGACGCUGAGAUACGAAAGCCAGGGGAGCGAACGGG
rnacentral:rRNA from 1 species